AAAUUCCAUUGUGAUACUACCCUUGCCAAAUUUCUGGAGAGUAACAUAUAUAUAAAACUUCACUGGUGCCAAGUUCUGCUGAACUAGGAAAAAAUGCAAAAUUGAAAAUCACAUGUCUGCUAGGUCCCAGCAAAACUGGCCCAUUCUCACCAGAGGACACUCCUUCCACCCGCCAGCAAGCGCUGCACCGCCUGAGAGCGGCUGGAAACUGACUUUUAAGACCAUUUUGGAACUGAAAAAGUAGAUCCUAUGGUGGAAAAUUAUCUGGCCGUGAAAUUGCAAGAAGUUAGCACAAAGAAAAGAAAGUAUAAAGGAAGACAGGGUGGAAGGGGCUGUUUAACUUUCAGAUCUAAUCAAAGUCCUGAUGAGUGUUGGCUGAGGCCACAGGUCCCCAGGCAAGACCUCCGCUGCGGAGAAGUCCUGCUCCAGGGCCUGUCCAGGCAGCUCCGCCCAGGGCUGCGGCAGGGGUCAUCUGUCCAGGACUUGAGGGACAAAAACCCCUGUGUUCUGAGUGACUGUUUGAACUGAAUUUCUCUCCCUUUUUCUUCCUGGAGGAAAAUCCGUUGACCCUGUCUUAACCUCAGCUUCCAUUCUUGGACAGAGUGUGAGUUAGAACAGGAAACUCAAAGAAGCUGUUUCCAUGGUCUCAGGACAAAAUCGUGUGUGUGUGUGUGUGUGUGUGUGCGCGCGCACAUGUAUUAAGAUCUGAGGUGGAAAGCAUAAAAAAAUUAGAACAAAGAAAAAUUCUGAAGUAGAGAAAGCAGAGCGUCCUGGUGGACGAGGACACCUCUGUCCACUGGGUGCUUUGGCUCCCACCCCCCUCACUGCCCACCUUCCUGCUGAACCAAGGGUUUGCUCCGAGAUGCUUAUCAACAAGACUCACAUCCAGCUCCUCGCAGACGGAGGCUGCUUCCCUCCCCGAGUCUAAACAGAAAAGGCAAGGAUCCCCUGGGCUUCAGGCUGCUAAGGGAAGAGCUGGAUCCCAUGGAUGGCUCCGCACAGUUACCUCUGCCAGGGAGAGCCCGAAUGUCAGUUUAAAAUAUCUUUUAAAAUCAAUUGUCUUGACUGUUUUGUGUCUUAUGCUAAAAUGGACUUUCAAAUGGGCCAAAAAUUGUCUCUGUGUUCAGACUGUGUGUAUUCUAUGGACCGUUAGGCUUUUGGGGGUGUAUGUUGGGUUUUCAAUACCAUACAUAAAAAAAAGAGAAAGUGAUUUUUAAUAAAAAAAUUACACAUUUAAAAUCAUAUAAGAAAUUAAUUAGGAUAUUAUACUAUGAUUAUACUGCAGCAAUAGUUAAAUUGAGAGACAUACUAUUCAUGAUAUUAUAAUACAAAUAAUGUCUCAUUCCUGAUUAAUCAUACCUCCAAUGCAUAUGUUUUUGGUAUUUAUUAAUAUGUAGAUUUUAUUUGUUUUGUUAAAACGAAAUCCGAGGGAUAAUUUGUAUAAUGGUUGAAAAAAAUAUUCAAAAUAUCUCAACAUGCA